GUAGGUGGCAAGCGUUGUCCGGAAUUAUUGGGCGUAAAGCGCGCGCAGGCGGUUUCUUAAGUCUGAUGUGAAAGCCCACGGGCUCAACCGUGGAGGGUCAUUGGAAACUGGGGAACUUGAGUGCAGAAGAGGAAAGUGGAAUUCCACGUGUAGCGGUGAAAUGCGUAGAGAUGUGGAGGAACACCAGUGGCGAAGGCGACUUUCUGGUCUGUAACUGACGCUGAGGCGCGAAAGCGUGGGAGCAAACAGGAUUAGAUACCCUGGUAGUCCACGCCGUAAACGAUGAGUGCUAAGUGUUAGAGGGUUUCCGCCCUUUAGUGCUGCAGCUAACGCAUUAAGCACUCCGCCUGGGGAGUACGGUCGCAAGACUG
rnacentral:rRNA from 1 species